AUUGAACGCUGGCGUCAUGCCUUACACAUGCAAGUCGAACGGUAACGGGCCUUCGGGUGCCGACGAGUGGCGAACGGGUGAGUAAUACAUCGGAACGUGCCCGAUCGUGGGGGAUAACGAGGCGAAAGCUUUGCUAAUACCGCAUACGAUCUACGGAUGAAAGCAGGGGACCGCAAGGCCUUGCGCGGACGGAGCGGCCGAUGGCAGAUUAGGUAGUUGGUGGGAUAAAAGCUUACCAAGCCGACGAUCUGUAGCUGGUCUGAGAGGAUGAUCAGCCACACUGGGACUGAGACACGGCCCAGACUCCUACGGGAGGCAGCAGUGGGGAAUUUUGGACAAUGGGCGCAAGCCUGAUCCAGCCAUGCCGCGUGCAGGAUGAAGGCCUUCGGGUUGUAAACUGCUUUUGUACGGAACGAAAAGCCUUCUUUUAAUACAGGAGGGUCAUGACGGUACCGUAAGAAUAAGCACCGGCUAACUACGUG
rnacentral:rRNA from 1 species